CACGUAGGGUGCGAGCGUUGUCCGGAAUUAUUGGGCGUAAAGAGCUCGUAGGCGGUGUGUCACGUCGGCCGUGAAAACCUGCAGCUUAACUGUGGGCGUGCGGUCGAUACGGGCAUCACUGGAGUUCGGCAGGGGAGACUGGAAUUCCUGGUGUAGCGGUGAAAUGCGCAGAUAUCAGGAGGAACACCGGUGGCGAAGGCGGCAUCCUGGACCAACACUGACGCUGAGGAGCGAAAGCCAGGGGAGCAAACGGG
rnacentral:rRNA from 1 species